rnacentral:tRNA from 1 species
UCGUAGCUCAGCUGGAUAGAGCGUUUGACUACGAAUCAAAAGGUCGCAGGUUCGAGUCCUG